rnacentral:tRNA from 1 species
GCAAUGGUGGUUCAGUGUUAGAAUCCUUGCCUUCUGCGAGGGAGACCCAGGUUUGAUUCCUGGUUAAUGUA